UCUUGGUCAUUUAGAGGAAGUAAAAGUCGUAACAAGGUUUCCGUAGGUGAACCUGCGGAAGGAUCAUUAUUAAAUGUUGCUCUGCAACUUUAUAAUCCCUUAACACCUGUGCAUUUUGUCGCUCCGGCGAUAUAUACAAACAUCAGUGUAAAGAAUGUAAAUUAUUAUAACAAAUACAACUUUCAACAACGGAUCUCUUGGCUCUCGCAUCGAUGAAGAACGCAGCGAAAUGCGAUAAGUAAUGUGAAUUGCAGAAUUCAGUGAAUCAUCGAAUCUUUGAACGCACAUUGCGCCUUUUGGUAUUCCGAAAGGCAUGCCUGUUUGAGUGUCAUAAGACCUCUCAUACUUAGUUUUCUAUGUAUGAGCUUUGGACGUCUGCCAUGUUUUGGCUCGUCUUAAAUGUCUAAGUGGAAUGCGUAAUAAGUUUUCGCUCCCUCCACUCUAAUAACUUUUAGUUAGACCUCAAAUCAGGUAGGGCUACCCGCUGAACUUAAGCAUAUCAAUAAGCGGAGGAA
rnacentral:rRNA from 1 species